GUGUUCGCUUCAGCAGCACAUAUACUAAAACUGGGAGGAUGCAGAGAAGAUGAGCCGGGCUCCUAUGCAAGGACGACACAGCAAACUGGUGAAGUGUUCCAUAUUUUU
ensembl:snRNA U6 U6 spliceosomal RNA